rfam:Ictidomys tridecemlineatus contig058561, whole genome shotgun sequence.
GGGGAUAUAGCUCUAUUGGUAGAGUGCUUGCCUUGCAUGCACAAGGCCCUGGGUUCCAUCCCCAGCACCACCA